GGCCCCGCCCCCCCUCUGGUGGCCGGCUCUGGAGAAACCCCGCGGAGCACCGCGGUGGGGACGGACCGGUGGGCUCCUGGUGGCCGCCUCUUCGUCUGCUACGCGCUUCCCCACCCACGUGGGUGCCUGGGACCUUCGCGUGCUGGCGCGGCUGCCCUUCCGCCGCCACCUAUCCUCCGGCUCCCGACGGGCGCUCACGGCCGUCUAAUACGGGGCCGGCGCGAAGUCAUUCCGAACCUUCCAAAUUGAGCAUGAAACCCAACCCUUUCUGCUCUAAGGGAGCCGACCUGUUGGAGUCAAACGCAGAGAUUCUGACUGGGGCAGGCCUUACACUUAAGCACUUGGACUCUGGAAUGAGAAAGCCUGGCUCCAUAGCACACGCACGCUACCUAUGGUCUAGUAACUUCAGGCAGAGUCCGGAACUUCUCGUGGUCUACUGCUCACUGUUGGUAUAGAGUAAUCAUUUACUCGUGAGGAUGAAAUGAGAAGAUGUAUAACAGAGCAUUUAGUGCGAUGCCUGACACAGAAGUAAACAUCGAUGAUGAUCGUUAUUCAUCACAUCUGAGGUGGAAUCCAUCCGUGUGUCUAGAAAGCCGCAUACGUGAUUUCUGUAACAUUGAGCCUGAGAAAGGAGCUAAUAGAGAUUCUUAGGGAGUAAAAAGAUCAAAUUCUGGUUGUUAGAAAAAUUAGUGACAACUCAGGACGUCUGGGUGGCUCAGUUGGGUCUCUGUACCAUCACAAGAGAGAUGACCAAUGAUCGUUUGGCUGUGCUGGUAGAAAGGUCCACAGAAAGCUGGGCAGAGCUACAGAUCCAGAAUCAUCAGCAAAAUGAAAUCGUGAAUAUGAGUAAUGUUGCCAGAGGUUUCAAGUAAAAGGAUUCGAAGAGGAUGGAAGAUAGUCAGCCACCAUGUUGGUCCUUUAGGGAUUAUGGAACCAUGAGCCAAUGAGCCUGGGUCCCUCAGGAUUUCAUGCAGCAGAACUGUCACACCAGCCGUGAGCUACCCACCUCUGGAUGCUUACAAGAAAGAGAAAUAAAUGAUGUUCUAUCAUAUCAAAGCCA